CCUGGCUCAGGAUGAACGCUAGCGGCAGGCUUAACACAUGCAAGUCGAGGGGCAUCGGGAGUAGCAAUACUUGCCGGCGACCGGCGCAAGGGUGCGUAACGCGUGAGCAACAUGCCCGUAUCAGGGGGAUAAUCCAUGGAAACGUGGUCUAAUACCCCAUAGUAAUUAUGUAAGGCAUCUUAUAUAAUUUAAAGCUUUGGUGGAUACGGAUUGGCUCGCGUGACAUUAGCUAGAUGGUAAGGUAACGGCUUACCAUGGCUACGAUGUCUAGGGGUUCUGAGAGGAAGGUCCCCCCACACUGGAACUGAGACACGGUCCAGACUCCUACGGGAGGCAGCAGUGAGGAAUAUUGGACAAUGGAUGGAAAUCUGAUCCAGCCAUGCCGCGUGCAGGAAAGACGGCCCUAUGGGUUGUAAACUGCUUUUGUAUGGGAGCAAUAAGGGCUACGUGUAGUCCGAUGAGAGUACCAUACGAAUAAGCACCGGCUAACUCCGUGCCAGCAGCGGC
rnacentral:rRNA from 1 species